AUACAGUUGACGAGUCACAAAUAGGACGAAAUGCGCAUCCUGAAU
rnacentral:hammerhead_ribozyme from 1 species